AGUGAACGCUGGCGGUAGGCCUAACACAUGCAAGUCGAACGGCAGCACAGUAAGAGCUUGCUCUUACCGGUGGCGAGUGGCGGACGGGUGAGGAAUACAUCGGAAUCUACUUUUUCGUGGGGGAUAACGUAGGGAAACUUACGCUAAUACCGCAUACGACCUACGGCUGAAAGCAGGGGAUCUUCGGACCUUUCGCGAUUGAAUGAGACGAUGUCGGAUUAGCUAGUUGGCGGGGUAAAGGCCCACCAAGGCGACGAUCCGUAGCUGGUCUGAGAGGAUGAUCGGCCACACUGGAACUGAGACACGGUCCAGACUCCUACGGGAGGCAGCAGUGGGGAAUAUUGGACAAUGGGCGAAAGCCUGAUCCAGCCAUACCGCGUGGGUGAAGAAGGCCUUCGGGUUGUAAAGCCCUUUUGUUGGGAAAGAAAAGCAGCAGGUUAAUACCCCGCUGUUCUGACGGUACCCAAAGAAUAAGCACCGGCUAACUUCGUG
rnacentral:rRNA from 1 species